rnacentral:rRNA from 1 species
GACCGGUGAAAAGCCAUGUUUAGCUUCUACCAGUCCAUUGACUUUGGACAAAUAUCUCAUUAAUGUGACCUCAAAUCAGGUAGGACUACCCGCUGAACUUAAGCAUAUCAAUAAGCGGAGGAAAAGAAACUAACAAGGAUUCCCCUAGUAACUGCGAGUGAAGCGGGAAAAGCUCAAAUUUAAAAUCUGGCAGUCUCCGGCUGUCCGAGUUGUAAUCUAGAGAAGUGCUAUCCGCGCUGGACCGUGUACAAGUCUCCUGGAAUGGAGCGUCAUAGAGGGUGAGAAUCCCGUCUUUGACACGGACUCCCAGGGCUUUGUGAUGCGCUCUCAAAGAGUCGAGUUGUUUGGGAAUGCAGCUCAAAAUGGGUGGUAAAUUCCAUCUAAAGCUAAAUAUUGGCGAGAGACCGAUAGCGAACAAGUACCGUGAGGGAAAGAUGAAAAGAACUUUGGAAAGAGAGUUAAACAGUACGUGAAAUUGCUAAAAGGGAAACGCUUGAAGUCAGUCGCGUUGUCCAGGGAUCAACCUUGCUUUUGCUUGGUGCACUUUCUGGUUAACGGGUCAGCAUCAAUUUUGAUCAUUGGAAAAAGAUUAGGGGAAUGUGACAUCUUUGGAUGUGUUAUAGCCCUUGGUUGCAUGCAAUGGUUGGGAUUGAGGAACUCAGCACGCCGCAAGGCCGGGUUUUAACCACGUAC